AGAGUUUGUAUUAGUGGGUCAGGAUGUCAGAUGGAGGCGUGCCUGCUGCCUGCACAUCGACAGAUCGAAUUAGAACAUGAAUUAUCUGACGUUAUCGGCGGAGAGUUGAGUACCACGGAGUCAUCUUUCGGGUACGACUGGGAUAAGUUCGAGAACUCGAAGCUACUACAGCUUAGGAUGCUCUCCUUCACAAGAGCUGAGAGAAAGACGGUUUGGCCUAUCACCUUCAGAUGGGCCCACGGUGCAUUAGCUAGUUGGUGAGGUAACGGCUCACCAAGGCAACGAUGCAUAGCCGGUCUGAGAGGAUGAUCGGCCACACUGGGACUGAGACACGGUCCAGACUCCUACGGGAGGCAGCAGUAGGGAAUAUUGCGCAAUGGACGCAAGUCUGAUGCAGCCACGCCGCGUGAGUGAAGAAGGCCUUCGGGUUGUAAAAUUCUGUUGUUAGGGAAGAACAAGUUCAAGAGUAUACCUUUGUACCUUGACGGUACCUACCCAGAAAGCCACGGCUAACUACGUGCCAGCAGCCGCGGUAAUACGUAGGUGGCAAGCGUUAUUCGGAAUUAUUGGGCGUAAAGCGCGCGCAGGCGGUUUGUUAAGUCAGAUGUGAAAGCCCACGGCUCAACCGUGGAGGGUCAUCGGAAACUGGGGAACUUGAGUGCAGAAGAGAAAAGCGGAUUUCCCACGGGAAGCGGGAAAUUGCGUAGAGUUGGGGAGGAACCCCAGUGGGGAGGGCGGCCCUUUGGUCGAGUGACUGACGCUCAGCUGCGAAGCGUGGAGCAGUCAUGAUU
rnacentral:rRNA from 2 species